AGCGGCGGACGGGUGAGUAACGCGUGGGUAACCUGCCUCAUACAGGGGGAUAACAGUUGGAAACGGCUGCUAAUACCGCAUAAGCGCACAGUACCGCAUGGUACGGUGUGAAAAACUCCGGUGGUAUGAGAUGGACCCGCGUCUGAUUAGGUAGUUGGUGGGGUAACGGCCUACCAAGCCGACGAUCAGUAGCCGACCUGAGAGGUUGAACGGCCACAUUGGGACUGAGACACGGCCCAG
rnacentral:rRNA from 1 species